rnacentral:rRNA from 1 species
AGCGAACGUUAGCGGCGGGCCUAACACAUGCAAGUCGAACGCGAAAGGUCUUCGGACUGAGUAGAGUGGCGCACGGGUGAGUAACACGUAGGUAAUCUACCCUUUGGCGGGGGAUAACGUUCCGAAAGGAGCGCUAAUACCGCAUAAGACCACGUGGUCUCCGGACCGAGUGGGAAAAGGUGGCCUCUUCUUGAAAGCUACCACCGAAGGAUGAGCCUGCGUCCCAUCAGCUAGUUGGUAAGGUAAUGGCUUACCAAGGCGAAGACGGGUAGCUGGUUUGAGAGAAUGAUCAGCCACACUGGCACUGGAACACGGGCCAGACUCCUACGGGAGGCAGCAGUGAGGAAUAUUGGGCAAUGGGCGAAAGCCUGACCCAGCCACGCCGCGUGAGUGGUGAAGGCCCUCGGGUCGUAAAGCUCUGUGGAGAGGGACGAAAACCCUGGUUUCAAAUAGGCUCCAGGCUUGACGGUACCUCUUUAGCAAGCACCGGCUAACUCUGUGCCAGCAGCCGCGGUAAAG